rnacentral:pre_miRNA from 1 species
AAGGGCCGGCGACGGAGGGGGGAGGGUCGGCUGGGGUCGCUAGGCCUUGACUAGGGGGCCGGCGACCCCGGCCGACCCUCCCCCCUCCGUCGCCGGCCCUU